rnacentral:misc_RNA from 1 species
UACGUAGGAUGCAAGCGUUGUCCGGAAUUAUUGGGCGUAAAGAGAACGUAGGCGGUUUGUUAAGUCUGCGCUUAAAGACUGAGGCUCAACCUCAGGAGUGGCGUGGAUACUGGCAGACUUGAGGACGUCAGAGGAAGGUGGAAUUCCCAGUGUAGCGGUGAAAUGCGUAGAUAUUGGGAGGAACACCAGUGGCGAAAGCGACCUUCUGGGACGUUACUGACGCUGAGGUUCGAAAGCUCGGGGAGCAAACAGG